CUGAUUUAGAGAUAUUUUUAUAGUUAUUAAGAGAUAAAGAUUGGAAGUGAGAAUAUAGAAAAGAGUGGAAAUAUAUAAUUAGUUUACUAAGUGUAUUUGGCAUUGGCAGUACCCACACUAGUCAUCAUUGAGAAGAUGAGCGAGAAUGAGAGAGUAGAUUUGGAAAAGGAAAACCCAUUUUCUACACCUCCAAUUUAAGAGAGUGAAAAGUCCCUUUUUGUCAUGGAGGAAGAUAUGAGUGGUUUUAGUUUAUGUGGAGUGAAGAAUAUUAAAGGAAAAUUCAAUAAAGUUAGAGAUUUUGGGGUCAUCUAUUCAUGGGGAUUUUGACAGGAAAAUAGAAACCCUCUAUCGUCUCUUCCUUUUCCAUCUACCCUUUCACCCAAAACUCUACAACCCCUAAACCAUCCUGACUUUGCCAUCGACCUUCCGGCAACCCGCCACCCUCGUUCCUUCUUUCUCAAUCGUUUAGUUAUGUGUCAAUGAAGAUGAUGAAAAUGAUGAUUAUUUCAAGAUGACGAUGAAGGAGAUGAAUUUGAAGAGGAUGACAUAAAUGACAAAUUUGAAAGAGAACGAUGUAGAUGAUAAAUACGAAGAAGACACACUUGAAUGAUUUAGAUGAUGAUUUUAGAUUAUGGUUUUUUGGAUAAUGUUUUUUUUAUUAUGCAUGUACUUGAUUGAAGCAUCAUAACUUUAACAAACUAUAUAUUUUGCUAGACGUACUUUAAGUAUUAAACUUUAUUAAAUUAUGUUAGACAAUUUGUUUAUUUCAAUUUAUUUAAAUACAACUUUGAUAAUAAUUUGUGUUAAA